AACAAACGCUGGCGGCGUGCCUAAUACAUGCAAGUCGAACGGGGAAAGCUUUCGGGUGAGUACUAGUGGCGCACGGGUGAGGGACGCGUGGAUAAUCUGCCUUAGAGUGGGGGAUAACUAGUCGAAAGAUUAGCUAAUACCGCAUAAGACCACGAGAGCUGCGGCUUUUGAGGUCAAAGGUUUUUCGCUCUAAGAUGAGUCCGCGUAAGAUUAGCUAGUCGGUGAGGUAACGGCUCACCAAGGCGACGAUCUUUAACUGGUCUGAGAGGAUGAUCAGUCACACUGGAACUGAGACACGGCCCAGACUCCUACGGGAGGCAGCAGUAGGGAAUAUUGCACAAUGGAGGAAACUCUGAUGCAGCGACGCCGCGUGAGUGAUGAAGGCCUUCGGGUCGUAAAGCUCUGUCGCAGGGGAAUAACACAAUGAAGGUACCCUGUAAGAAAGGAUCGGCUAACUUCGU
rnacentral:rRNA from 1 species